CGAGUGCAGCAGCUACACAUGCAAGUCGAGCGGUAGAGAGGUGCUUGCACCUCUUGAGAGCGGCGGACGGGUGAGUAAUGCCUAGGAAUCUGCCUGGUAGUGGGGGAUAACGCUCGGAAACGGACGCUAAUACCGCAUACGUCCUACGGGAGAAAGCAGGGGACCUUCGGGCCUUGCGCUAUCAGAUGAGCCUAGGUCGGAUUAGCUAGUUGGUGAGGUAAUGGCUCACCAAGGCGACGAUCCGUAACUGGUCUGAGAGGAUGAUCAGUCACACUGGAACUGAGACACGGUCCAGACUCCUACGGGAGGCAGCAGUGGGGAAUAUUGGACAAUGGGCGAAAGCCUGAUCCAGCCAUGCCGCGUGUGUGAAGAAGGUCUUCGGAUUGUAAAGCACUUUAAGUUGGGAGGAAGGGCAGUUACCUAAUACGUAUCUGUUUUGACGUUACCGACAGAAUAAGCACCGGCUAACUCUGUGCCAGCAGCCCCGGGGUUAAUACA
rnacentral:rRNA from 1 species